rnacentral:rRNA from 1 species
GAACCAUCUAGUAGCUGGUUCCCCCCGAAGUUUCCCUCAGGAUAGCUUGAACGCAACGGUUUUGUCAGGUAAAGCGAAUGAUUAGAGGCCUUGGGGCUGAAACAGCCUUAACCUAUUCUCAAACUUUAAAUGGGCAAGAGGUCCGGGAUGCUUGAGUGAUCCCGGGCGGCGAACGGCGCGUUCAAAGUGGGCCAUUUUUGGUAAGCAGAUCUGGCGAUGAGGGAUGCUCCUAA